rnacentral:rRNA from 1 species
GGGGUAUGGUUCUUCGGAACAGAGACCGGCGCACGGGUGCGUAACGCGUAUGCAAUCUACCUUUUACAGAGGGAUAGCCCAGAGAAAUUUGGAUUAAUACCUCAUAGCAUAGCAGCUUCGCAUGAAGUCACUAUUAAAGUCACAACGGUAAAAGAUGAGCAUGCGUCCCAUUAGCUAGUUGGUAAGGUAACGGCUUACCAAGGCUACGAUGGGUAGGGGUCCUGAGAGGGAGAUCCCCCACACUGGUACUGAGACACGGACCAGACUCCUACGGGAGGCAGCAGUGAGGAAUAUUGGACAAUGGGCGCAAGCCUGAUCCAGCCAUGCCGCGUGCAGGAUGACGGUCCUAUGGAUUGUAAACUGCUUUUAUACGAGAAGAAACACUCCAACGUGUUGGAGCUUGACGGUAUCGUAAGAAUAAGGAUCGGCUAACUCCGUGCCAGCAGCCGCGGUAAUACGGAGGAUCCAAGCGUUAUCCGGAAUCAUUGGGUUUAAAGGGUCCGUAGGCGGUUUAGUAAGUCAGUGGUGAAAGCCCAUCGCUCAACGGUGGAAACGGCAUUGAUACUGCU